CAGUCGACGCGUCUCCGUUAAUGAUUUUAAGUGCUUGCACUUGAAAGAUUUAACAUUGAGACGAGUGGCGAACUGGUGAGUAACACGUGGGUAACCUGCCCUUGAAGUAGGGGAUAACACUUGGAAACAGGUGCUAAUACCGUAUAACAACCAAAACCACCUGGUUUUGGUUUAAAAGACGGCUUCGGCUGUCACUUUAGGAUGGACCCGCGGCGUAUUAGCUUGUUGGUAAGGUAACGGCCUACCAAGGCGAUGAUACGUAGCCGACCUGAGAGGGUAAUCGGCCACAUUGGGACUGAGACACGGCCCAAACUCCUACGGGAGGCAGCAGUAGGGAAUCUUCCACAAUGGACGAAAGUCUGAUGGAGCAACGCCGCGUGAGUGAUGAAGGGUUUCGGCUCGUAAAACUCUAUUGUUGGAGAAGAACAGGUGUCAGAGCAACUGUUGACAUCUUGACGGUAUCCAACCAGAAAGCCACGGCUAACUACGUGCCAGCAGCCGCGGUAAUACGUAGGUGGCAAGCGUUGUCCGGAUUUAUUGGGCGUAAAGCGAGCGCAGGCGGUUUUUUAGGUCUGAUGUGAAAGCCUUCGGCUUAACCGGAGAAGUGCAUCGGAAACCGGGAGGCUUGAGUGCAGAAGAGGACAGUGGAACUCCAUGUGUAGCGGUGAAAUGCGUAGAUAUAUGGAAGAACACCAGUGGCGAAGGCGGCUGUCUGGUCUGUAACUGACGCUGAGGCUCGAAAGCAUGGGUAGCGAACAGGAUUAGAUACCCUGGUAGUCCAUGCCGUAAACGAUGAGUG
rnacentral:rRNA from 1 species